GCCAAUCAGUGGAUGGAUGCCAUAGAUCUGUCCAGUAAGAGGACAAGAGGCGUAGGGGACAUCAUCAGUGAGCACAUGCGAGUUACGACUCAAGUCAUGAACUGGUUGAAUAAAGUCGUGGAUGUGGGUAAAGGAAUUGCCAAUGGUGUGUGCCGAACUGUGAAAUUGUUCUGACAGACUGGAGAGACUGGAACUGGCCUUAAACAACAACGGCAACAACAACAACCACCACCACCACCACAACA